rnacentral:snRNA from 1 species
AUCGCUUCUCGGCCUUUUGGCUAAGAUCAAGUGUAGUAUCUGUUCUUAUCAGUUUAAUAUCUGAUACGCUGCUCAUCGAGUAGCUUCAAUAUUAAAUUGAUUUUUGGCAAUCGGUCUCGGAUGUGAAGCUUGCUUCAGCCAGACCACGAGUCUUCCCCGUAUUGCAGUACCUCGGGGCUAGGGCUCACCUCCC